rnacentral:rRNA from 1 species
UACGAAGGGGGCUAGCGUUGUUCGGAUUUACUGGGCGUAAAGCGCACGUAGGCGGGUUGUUAAGUCAGGGGUGAAAUCCUGGAGCUCAACUCCAGAACUGCCUUUGAUACUGGGAAUCUCGAGUCCGGGAGAGGUGAGUGGAACUGCGAGUGUAGAGGUGAAAUUCGUAGAUAUUCGCAAGAACACCAGUGGCGAAGGCGGCUCACUGGCCCGGUACUGACGCUGAGGUGCGAAAGCGUGGGGAGCAAACAGG